rnacentral:misc_RNA from 1 species
UCUCGCUUGUGAGGAGCGACGAUAUCGAAUUUUCGUAUUUCAGUAUUUUACACGUUUUCAUUCUCGUUGUUUGGAGUUCGUAUUUGUUUUACAACGCGUGGAUUGAAAGGUUGGAUUAUUUGAUGCCGAGUGAAACUCCGAUUUCCGUGAUCGUAGAUUACUGGUCAAUGUGCAGCAUGUAUCUCGAAGUGAUCUCUGCCUGGUUUUGUAGUUAUUUUCCAAAAAAUAAUCUCGCAUCGAUAAUAAAAGCUUUCCAAAAGGCUGAACGAACUUCUGAGAAACUCGAUAUACCGGAAAACUGCGAGAAAUACUUGAGAAAUAUCGUCAUUCAUCUGCUGCUCUCAAUCACAGUUUUUUACGGAACCAUUUCUUUUACCAAUGUCAUACUGAUGCGUUUCCCGAAUUAUUAUUUAGGCCAGUGGCUUGUAUUCAAUGUGCCACGUUUAGCAUCGAUCACCUACCUAACUCUGUUCGUUUGGUGUCUUGUGAUAGUUGAACGAAAAUUCCGUCGUUUGAAUAAAAAAGUUCAUGCAUUCCUGCAAAACUAUUGCAUCAAAGCUCACGGAGUUAUGUAUCAGAGGAAAUCGAUCAAUGAAAUCUCAAUCGCAAAAUCAAGGCCAACAACAUGGGAAACAUCCUUCACUCGAUCCUCAAUCAUUCUGACAAAUCUUUCGAUACCGAAGACUCCGCGCGUUUGGACGUAAUUUCCUUGGGACUGUUGCUGAACAAAACCCGGAUAUCGGUCUUCGGCUUAUUCUAUUUGGACCAUCAUUUCAUUUACAAUACUGUACCAAUGGCAACGAUGUACCUUGUGAUAAUGCUACAAUUUUACACCUGAGCCAACGCGUUGUUCGUGCGCACGAUAAAGUGUGAAAUUGGAUGAAAGAAACCAGUGAUCAUCUGACCCAGAAAUUAUCCUUCUAAGAUU